AGCCCCGGAGCGGCCUUCCCCCUCCCCGACGCCUCCACCAAGCCCUGAGGUUCAUCAUCAGGGAGACAGGGGCCUUGAGGUCUGGGGGGAGCCCCAUGCGACAGGGCCACCAACUCAGGCUGCCACGUCGGCCGAAGGCUGGUGAGCUCUCCAACAGGCCGUGAGGGUCCCGGGUCCCCCCAUCCUCAGCCUCCUCUGCCAGGUGUUUCUCAAUGGGGUUUAGUGGAUAUUUAAGAGCUCGGAGCCCCCCCCCCCAUCUCUGCCACCAGCCGUCCACCACGCGCUCACUGUCAGCAUCAGCGUCCCGAAAACGUGGGUGCCAGCCCCUCACACGCUUGCUAAACAGCCCUCCUCGGCUGCCCAGCCCCCCACAGGGAAAGCUGUCGCCAUGCACGGGCUCCAUCACCCUGUGCCAGCCUCCCUUCCCCCCGUGCAGUCCCCCGGCCUGAGGCCAUACCUCCUCCCCCCGGGGCCCUCUUCCCAGGAACCCUCAGGAUGUGCAGCUUCCCCAGAGGCACCUCCCAGCCUGCCCCGCUCCCCUCGCCACAAAUGGCCUGCACCCCGUCCCCUCCCUCCCGGCUCUGCGCGCAGGCUGGCUGAAGAGCUAACUCAGACUAGAGUGGAAAUGGCUGCAAAGUGGGCUGUCGAGUGACUUUGCCCUGGAGAUGCAUCACUAUUGACAAAGAAGUCAGCCUUUAGCCAAAGGGGUGGGGUUCCAGAGCAGAGAAAGACCCUGGGCUCCAAGGUGGGGUGCUGCCUAAUUCACAGUCCGCUUUGCAGUUUUGAUGGCUCCCUCCCUUCUCAAGGCCCACAGUGGGAUAGUGACUUGACCAGCCUCUCCCCCAGCCAGUGGCGGGGCUGGGUCAGGAUCCCAGGGGUCUGGCCUGCACCAGACCCAGCCGAGAGCAGGAGGCGGAGAGCCCUCUGACCCCCAGAAGGGUCCCCCGGUCAUGAGACUCCAGGAAUCGGAGAAAGGGUCCCACAGGAGCGGGCUGGUGGGGGAUGGAUCCAUGGCCCCAGUCGCCAGGCAGGCGGGGAGGCCACAGGCCUCCAAAUUCCAGGCUAAUUGGCAUCUGGCAGAGCACGUUCCUCCCCAGCAGGCCUGACUUUCGCAUCCUGUCCCACACUCUGACACGAGCCCCGGAACACCCCCCCCACCAACCCCCCGACAUCCAAACUGACACGGCCCUGUCCCGCCUGGGCCGCCCCAGGAAGCCUCUGACCCGAGCCCUCUCUGAGCCCAGAGGCACCAGGGCGGCCGGGGCCACAGGCCUGGAAGGAAUGUGUCCCUGACCCGCGGGCCUGAGCAUUGCCGACACAGGCCCCAGAGGCUCAGGAGAUCAGAGCCGGCCGCGUAAACAGUGAUAGGGAGCCAGGGAACCGCGUCUGCUCUGAUCCAGACCCCGGGAUGAGGAAACCAAGCUCCGGGCAGAGCACGGCCCCACAGGAAUUGCCCAACGGAAUCUAAUUUCUUUUCAGUGCAGCCCUUUCACGUGCAGGCGGCUGUGAUGCCGUCUCCUCCCUGCACCCCACCAUGAAGCGGGUGCCGUCACCCCAUUCUGCGGGUGAGGACGCCGAGGCCAGAGGAGAAGGGAUCGGCCAGGACCACACCCGGAGCCGUGGGUUUUACUUCUUGCUCCUGGGCCAGCAGCGAACCAGGUACGGGGAGACAGGCCCUGGUGCGGCCCGAGGUCAGAUAGACCCCCCCUGUGGCCUGUGCCUCCCCGGGCGUCUCUCCCCUUUCCAAGCUGGGGUCCUGGGAGGAUUCGGGAGGACUGUCCACGGAGCAACGGCUGCCUUCCCGCAGUCUUCCGGGUCAGGGAGCGACCCCGCGGGAGAGCACCUCCACCGGCGAGGGGACCCCUCUUCUGCAUCCAUCCCCCUGGUGAGAUGCCCACCACCCCGGGGCUCAGCCCCCCACCCCAGGGACACGCCUGGCCUGGCGUCCAGGGGUCAAGCAUGUGGCUCACCCGUCAGGAGCCCGGACAUCCUCUGAGAGCCUCAGGCUCGCCUCCCGAAAGGGAGGGGUGACUCACCCACCUGGACAGCUAGCUCGGGGGACACACGUGUGACACGUGCUCGGCCCACGGCAGGCCAGCACCGUCCUCCUUAGCAGGGUCCUCCCUCUCCCCCGCCUCCCGAGACAACCAGCCCCCCCCCCACACCCCCACCCCCCGCUCCAGGCCGCCUGGUGUGGGGUCCUUGUCCCGCUCGGGAGGUCUCAGAGCCCCGUGUCCACACCAAGGCGCUGUCGUUGGGCUCCUGGUGGCCUUCUUGGCGGGCGCCUCCGUGCCACGUGCUGCGCUCUGGGCCCCACCUCCAGCGCAAUCCGCCUGGCCGUCGUGCAACCCCAGGCAGGAAGCAGCACCUUCAGGAAGGUUCGAGUGACCCUCCUGGGCCGGGAGCCCUGCCGUCCAGCUGUGGCCACGCUCGGGGCGUGUCCAGGCCACCGGCCAGCAGGUCCACUGCAGGACCCAUGUAAUCUGCCGAAAGCAGCACGGCUAGUUAGAAGUUUUAUUGAUUGAACACGAUCGAGUGGAAAUAGUAAAAGUUCUCCCGAUGUAACCCACUUUUUCUUAAUGGGUAAUCUCAGACACUCGAGUUUGUAUGUUAAAGGAGCUUUAGGACAAUUUAAUAGCUCAUAAAAUUUUAUAGUCCCAGUUGAAAUCAGAGUGAUAACUCUGGCCUGCACAGCUAUAGUUUGCUAAA